rnacentral:tRNA from 1 species
GCUGAUGUAGCACAGGGGUAGUGCAGUUGAUUCGUAAUCAACAGGUCGUGAGUUCAAAUCUCACCAUCAGCUCCA